CUCCACAAAUUCCAGCCAUGGGCUACAUGUCCUUUAUUUUUUUUUGUUGGAGGGAGGGAACAAGCUGGUAUAUUAUAGGUAUCACAUUAACUCCUACCUCCUGAUUACAUUUUUAUUAUUAUUAUUUAUGGUAAGAUAUGUAUAUUGGGGAAAAAAACAUGUCAAAAGGAACCCCGGGAACAUGAUAAUCUAAAAUCUUUUACUGACUAAAGGAACCUGCUACCUUAUAGCUCCAACUCCUAGAUGUUACUCAGCUGAGAACAUAAACAAUAAUACAGGGAUUAAUAUGCCACCCACCAGUGUUGAGGAUUAAUAUGGCAAUGGUUUGGUUCCCACAUACUGGCACAAACUAAUUCUGCCUAGCAGGAGAACAGACCCUUUUCAGCUAAUGUGCUCAUCUAUAUUGCUUCAGGCUUUGCCCCCGUCUUGUGAGUACAGGAGUUGGGGCUCCUAAUUAUUUUACAGACAUAUUAGAAAAAAGGCCUUGAAUUAGAUCACUUUUUCUCAUAUUUAAAAAUUAUCUGUUUGUUUUUGAACACGUGUUGGAGGGAUGUUAAAAAAAUACACAAAAUGUGGCCAUGUUGCAUUGCAAGAUCCAGCUCUGCUAUAGUCCAGGGAGAAAUCCAUGCACUAAAAAAUCUCCUAAAACUUUGGGAAAGUAUGGGUUAUGGAGAAAAAGAAGGUAAUGGCAGAGAAGGUAUGUAGAGACUAGCCAAGAGCUGAGUCUUGGUGUAGAUUAAUCUGAUGUGGCGUAGCUGGCCUGGUAUUGUGUCCAAAAUAAGUAGAAUGCUUUGGAUUUAGCUGGUCAUAGAACCAAUCCAGUUGCUACAUUUUUAUUGCUAUAAUUUAGAUCCUUCUCUUUCAGAUAGGGUCCUGCAGAUGUCAGAGGCAAUCCCAUGCAGCCACAGAGAGGCUAUGACAGGAUCAGAGCUGAAGUGAGAUUCAGAACGCACUGAUUUCAGUUGCAUUCUCCAUCUUGGUUACAGUUCAAGGUUACAGUUUACCGACUGGAUUCUCUGUUUUUUAGAAACAGGAAAAUCAGAAUUAACUCAUACCUGAAAAGUAGCCACUGUUGCUUGCAAAAUACUCACUGAAGCACAAGAGCAGCAGAGCAGGUGUUCACUGGGCUACCUGGAUAAGGAGGUAAUGGAGAGAUGGACUUCUGCUAAACCUCCGGGGCAUUGUGGAUGACAAGUGACAGCUUUAAAGAUGAACUUUUUCUAAAAAGUGUUUUUAAUCCUCCUAAGGAAACCUUUCUGAAGAAAAUGAAUCCAAAAUGUGUUUGCAAACCACAACAUUCUCUCUUUACCUUCUGGAUAAUUCACCAGGUAAAUAUACUUUUUGGAUAAACAUCCUUCUACCUUAUAGAUAACCAUUAUAUGAAUGUUCAUUACUCAAAUUGCCCAAAUGUCUAUGCUACAAUCUAAUGCACAAAAAUCCGAUAAUAUCCGAGUGCUUCAGAACUAGCUAUUAUUAGACAGAAAUAAUUUUUUGAGUGGAUAUUUUUAGUGUUGACAAAUGUAGAGUGUAGCAUUAUUAAAUUUCUUUAGUUGCACUGUGUGUCUCAGGAAUGUGCCAAACCCAGUACAGCUUUUAAUUGCUUCAUUCUCUACUCAGUAAUUUUCCUGCUGUUAUUAACAUGUGCUGCUCAGCAAUCACUCCGAGCCAAGGCAUUUGUCGGAGAUUUCUUUUGUGUAGUGUUUGUGUUCUGCCUCUCAGCUCUCUAUAACAGUUCUGCACAUGAAACUGCUCUACUCCAUAACUGAUUCCAACUGGCACUUACAAGAACUCAGAGAAAAUAUAUUUCUUCAUAAAGCAGGCCUUAUAGCUGUAGCUGGGUAGAAGAAUUAGUAUGGGUUAUAUUUCUUAGAUGGCAAUGCAAAAAAAGCUGAAAAGAUUUGGAAGAUCUAUCAGCACUUUGCAGACAUAUGGUUUUCAGUCUUGUAGGGAGGGAGAAAAGCAAAUAGGGGAAUACCAGCAUCAAGCACCUGCAGGCACUAAACCUGGGUUCGAGAAUCCUCUGUCUUAUGCAGUCUUAUUCAUUCUAUGGGUAUCUAUCUAUCUCAAGUAGAGAUGUAAUCAUUUUAUCUGUGAAAAAUGCAUGCAAAUAUGGGUAAAUAAUGAAUUAUUUUUAUAUUAAUUUAAUAUUUUUAUAUGAUAGAUAUUGGAUUCAUCAAAUUUCAAGCAAUGUUCUAUAGCGAUAAUUUAUUGGAAGAUGCAAAUCUAUACACUCUGCUGACAUGAAAUGUAAACCAUGUAGGAAUAUAAUGACUAAGACAAAUUUACAAAUAUAUUCGAACAGUGGAUGUACAAAUUCUUUUUUUUUUUUUUUUUUUUCUGAAUUUCAAAGUUAGUAAAAUGGGACAGUGAUGCCUACCAAGGUGAAUUGACUUACUCAGCUGACAACAUGCUCUCACUGUUGUAGAGAUUGUAUUUAAUCCAGAAUGUCAUCAUUCUGGGGUUGUGAUACAGGACAAUUUCAGCAAAAUGUCAGCAACCAGUGUGCAACCAGCAACACUGUGGAAGGACCCUGGCUAACUGUCUCUGAAGGCAACUGCAAAGUAAGUGGCUUGCAAGUUACCAGAUUCACGUUGAAGGGAGGAAAGUUUAGUUUCUUUCCUUGAGAUUUCUUUCCUUGAGACAAUCAAAGCAAGACAAAAUGUAAAUGAGAGAGCUUAGGCAUUUUGGAGAGGUCCUUCAGAAAUACAUACUGCAAUAGCAAUGUCUUCCUUAAUUAAUUAUGCAGUCUGAAUCUUUUCCAUUAAGCAUUUGGCAAAAGUAUUACCCUCUAGCUCUCCCUACUGGAUUAUUAUUACAUAAUUUCUGUAUUUAAUGUGUGUGAUAUAUCUCUGUGUUAAACAACUCAUUAAACAAUAACCCAAACAUCUCACUAUAUGGUAUUGAUGCUUCAUAUUUGAUGUGUAUUCUGACAGAUAUGGCCAUGGCUUGUUUCUUUAUUUUGUUUUGCUUAUUUUGUGAAAAGAUACUAUUUCUUCUGCUGCAGUUUACAGAGAGUCAUUCUAGAGCAUGAGGCUGUUUCUCAUAGAUGAGACUUCCAAAAACACCUAGGUGAUUUUUAAGAAUUUAAGGUGAUUUUUCAACUGUGAUUUAGAUUCUUAGAUGCCUAAAUAUCAAUGUCUUUCACUGAAAUUUAGUUGUCCGUCUGAAAAAUCUUUUAGUAGCAUUUAAUUACAUGCUGUUCUAAUUGAAUUGAUUUUUGAAAGCUAAGGGAAAGACUAGUCUAUUUGGAUUUCAUGUUUCUGCAAUACCCAGUUGAGGUUCUUUGCCCUUUCCAGGGGAAAAUAUCCAUCAUGGAUAUUUUAGGUUUGAAAUGCCUUUCUUUCUGAUAUGAAAUGCAAACUUGUAUAUAUUCUCCUAGAGCAAAAUGCACAGCUUUUCUGCCUCCCGCUGAUAAAUCAAGGCAAACAAACUAUGGAAUGGGACCACUCAUUCUGCAAAUCACGCAUAUGGCUCAGUGGAUAGCAUGGAAAAGGACCAUCAAGGCAACUCUGCAAGGAAAAUAUUCAGACUGAAUUUUAUUAACUAAAAUGGAUAUG